CAGUCGCCACGGUAAUACGAAGGGGGCUAGCGUUGCUCGGAAUGACUGGGCGUAAAGGGCGCGUAGGCGGCGAUCAAAGUCAGGCGUGAAAUUCCUGGGCUCAACCUGGGGGCUGCGUUUGAUACUCGGUUGCUAGAGUGAGGAAGAGGGUCGUGGAACUCCCAGUGUAGAGGUGAAAUUCGUAGAUAUUGGGAAGAACACCGGUGGCGAAGGCGGCGACCUGGUCCUUGACUGACGCUAAGGCGCGAAAGCGUGGGGAGCAAACAGGAUUAGAUACCAGCGUGUCCCUGUCCUUAUACAC
rnacentral:rRNA from 1 species